GGGGGUCUGGGGCCCGCUCAAGGGCCCCAGAAUUUUUUUUUAAAAUGGUGCAAAAUCCUGCAUUCUGGGAGUCUCCUGGACCCUGUUUCAGUCCUCUCAAAACAUCAUUUUUUUAAUGAAGAUAAUGUAAAUGUUUGAUUAAAAUUUGUAGCAUGGUUGGAUUUUCUGUAAAUAUUGAUUACAUUUAUAUAUGCAUUUGAUCCAGACUUCAACUUAAAGCUUGUAUUUGAAGUUGUUUGAGAAU
rnacentral:lncRNA from 1 species